rnacentral:rRNA from 1 species
AUUGAACGCUGGCGGCAGGCCUAACACAUGCAAGUCGAACGAGUGGCGGACGGGUGAGUAAUGUCUGGGAAACUGCCUGAUGGCGGGGGAUAACUACUGGAAACGGUAGCUAAUACCGCAUACCAUCAGAUGUGCCCAGAUGGGUGUAGCUGGUGGGGGGGGUAACGGCUCACCAAGCCGACGAUCCCUAGCUGGUCUGAGAGGCAGACCGGCCACACUGGAACGUGGACACGGUCAAGACUCCUACGGGAGGAAGCGGUGGGGAAUAUUGCACAAUGGGCGCAAGCCGGAUGCAGCCAUGCCGCGUGUAUGAGGAAGGUCUUCGGGUUGUAAAGUACUUUCAGCGGGGAGGCGUUACCCGCAGAAGAAGCACCGGCUAACUCCGUGCCAGCAGCCGCGGUAAUAC